GACUCUGACCUCCUGUUAAGUGUCACAGA
rnacentral:sRNA from 1 species